AGUGGGGAAUCUUGCGCAAUGGGCGAAAGCCUGACGCAGCAACGCCGCGUGCGGGAUGAAGGCCUUCGGGUUGUAAACCGCUUUCAGUGGGGACGAAAACAGACGGUACCCACAGAAGAAGCCCCGGCCAACUACGUGCCAGCAGCCGCGGUAACACGUAGGGGGCGAGCGUUGUCCGGAAUCAUUGGGCGUAAAGAGCUCGUAGGCGGCUCAGUAAGUCGGGUGUGAAACCCUCAGGCUCAACCUGGGGACGCCACCCGAUACUGCUGUGGCUAGAGUCCAGUAGGGGAGUGUGGAAUUCCCGGUGUAGCGGUGAAAUGCGCAGAUAUCGGGAGGAACACCAGCGGCGAAGGCGGCACUCUGGGCUGGAACUGACGCUGAGGAGCGAAAGCGUGGGUAGCAAA
rnacentral:rRNA from 1 species